ACACACCGCGCUGUCCUUCACUCCAGUCCUUCUGCAGUUCUGAUUCUGAUCAAAUGUCAGGAAACAUAAUCCUCUCCCCUUAAGCACUUUCAUCGCCCGCCGCAGCACCAGACAUAGCAACCCAGCCAAACAAAUGCCAGCGUGACAUCACAUGCCAGCGGCCGCUGACAGCCACCCAGCAGCUCCCAGUCCUCCUCUCACCACCUUCCGCAGGAGUCGCGGCGGCCGGGCGGCUCUGGAGGCCCCGGAGACUCCGGAGCUCAGCUUGCCGCUCGGAUUGUGUGUGUCUGAGAGGCCGUUCUGAGCGCCGCAUAUCAGCCAAAGAUAUAAAAAGCCUGUCUGAGGUUUCCUCUAGUCGCUAGCUACCCCACGCUAGCCAGCGGAGGUUAGCAUCUGAAGCAUUCCUGCACAUUCCUGCUCAAACGGAGGCAUGGAGAACACGUUUCCCUCAGCUGGCUUACAGCCGUCUCGCACAGAUACUGCAUGAUACAGAUGAAUACAGUGGGGCAAGGUAGCCUGAGGGACUCUACUACACGUUUAUGCAAGGCCACAAACACAGAAGCGGGAAGCAGAAGCAGACAGACGGAGCUCCACCUGACCCCAAACAGAUGGAGCGGCUGCCCGCACUUACGCUGCCUUUACAGACAGAUCUGAGCUGAGUUACGCAAAGCAGGAGCAUCUUGAUACAUGAGGAAGUACAAUAUGUUCAUGUUCAGAAUGAAACAGUACGAUUACGGACGUAAAAAAACAUGCAACCUGAAAAUAUAAUUAUCCACAACUUCCAUAAACUGUUUCUGGAUAGAACUGCUGCACUGUAAACCCAUUCGCUGUAUAAACUCCAAUGAUUUAAGUCUGUUUUACAUAAAAUUAGAUAUUUCUAAACAAUACUUAACUAUUUUGAGUUAGUUGAACAUUUGUGGGCACAUAUGCAUUCAAACUGAGAUCUUUGAGUUGAACCAACUUUAACAACCAAUAACAGCUUCUUUUCCAUUGGCUUCUGUCACAAUCUAUUUGCAUACUGGGUGUGUCCAACGGUUUCUGACAGACACUCACCAUCAGUGUGUAGUGAUUGACCCUGGGCUACUUUACAAGUAAAUCAACUUCCUCUUUAGUUUUAAUAACUUGAUUUUUUUUUUAUUUAUGGUAACUAAUGUUCAUUCUUUAUUGCUUAAAAAAAUUAACAAAAAAGCUGCCUUAACAAAGUUAAGUAAAAUCAGCUUAUUUGGUCUUAAAGUAUAACAAAAAUAACACAGUUAAAUAAACUUUCUCUCAAAUUUUUAAAAUAAGUUCA
rnacentral:lncRNA from 1 species